rnacentral:rRNA from 1 species
AAUCAACGCUGGCGGCGUGCCUCAGACAUGCAAGUCGAACGCGAAAGUUCCCUUCGGGGGAUGAGUAGAGUGGCGCACGGGUGAGUAACACGUAGGUAAUCUACCUUUGGAUGGGGAAUAACAACCGGAAACGGUUGCUAAUACCGCAUAAUGCAGCGGCACCUAAUGGUGACAGUUGUUAAAGCGGGGGAUCGAAAGACCUCGCGUCUGAAGAGGAGCCUGCGGCGGAUUAGCAGUUGGUAAGGUAACGGCUUACCAAGGCGACGAUCCGUAGCCGGCCUGAGAGGGCGGUCGGCCACACUGACACUGACAUACGGGUCAGACUCCUACGGGAGCAGCAGUCGGGAAUUUGGGCAAUGGGCGAAAGCCUGACCCAGCAACGCCGCGUGAAGGAUGAAAUCCCUC